rnacentral:rRNA from 1 species
UAAUAUAUCGGAACGUACCCUGGAGUGGGGGAGUAACGUAGCGAAAGUUACGCUAAUACCGCAUACGAUCUAAGGAUGAAAGUGGGGGAUCGCAAGACCUCAUGCUCCUGGAGCGGCCGAUAUCUGAUUAGCUAGUUGGUAGGGUAAAAGCCUACCAAGGCAUCGAUCAGUAGCUGGUCUGAGAGGACGACCAGCCACACUGGAACUGAGACACGGUCCAG